ACGGGUGAGUAAUACAUCGGAACGUGCCCUGUAGUGGGGGAUAACUAGUCGAAAGAUUAGCUAAUACCGCAUACGACCUGAGGGUGAAAGUGGGGGACCGCAAGGCCUCAUGCUAUAGGAGCGGCCGAUGUCUGAUUAGCUAGUUGGUGAGGUAAAGGCUCACCAAGGCGACGAUCAGUAGCUGGUCUGAGAGGACGAUCAGCCACACUGGGACUGAGACACGGCCCAGACUCCUACGGGAGGCAGCAGUGGGGAAUUUUGGACAAUGGGGGCAACCCUGAUCCAGCAAUGCCGCGUGUGUGAAGAAGGCCUUCGGGUUGUAAAGCACUUUUGUCCGGAAAGAAAUCGCACUUACUAAUAUUAGGUGUGGAUGACGGUACCGGAAGAAUAAGGACCGGCUAACUACGUGCCAGCAGCCGCGGUAAUACGUAGGGUCCAAGCGUUAAUCGGAAUUACUGGGCGUAAAGCGUGCGCAGGCGGUUGUGCAAGACCGAUGUGAAAUCCCCGGGCUUAACCUGGGAAUUGCAUUGGUGACUGCACGGCUAGAGUGUGUCAGAGGGGGGUAGAAUUCCACG
rnacentral:rRNA from 1 species